GAAGCUCAGUCGGUAGAGCACGGGACUCUUAAUUUCAAGGUGGUGGGUUCGAGUCCCACAGUAGGCA